rnacentral:misc_RNA from 1 species
UUUCCGUAGGUGAACCUGCGGAAGGAUCAUUAUCAAUUUUACAGUCCUAGAAUAGGGGUAAAAACUCUAUUCUAUGCUGUUCAACCCUUUGUCUUUUGCGUACUGUAUGUUUCCUCGGCGGGUUCGCCCGCCGAUAGGACACUUCAAAACCUUUUGUAAUUGCAAUCAGCGUCAGAAAAACUAUAAUAGUUACAACUUUCAACAACGGAUCUCUUGGUUCUG